rnacentral:rRNA from 1 species
GACGAACGCUGGCGGCGUGCCUAAUACAUGCAAGUAGAACGCAGUUGCGAACGGGUGAGUAACGCGUAGGUAACUGCCUCAUAGCGGGGGAUAAUUAUUGGAAACGAUAGCUAAUACCGCAUACGUUGAGAUGGACCUGCGUUGUAUUAGCUAGUUGGUGAGGUAAAGGCUCACCAAGGCGACGAUACAUAGCCGACCUGAGCGGGUGAUUGGCCACAAUGGGAAUGAGAAACGGCCCAGACUCCUACGGGAGGCAGCAGGAGGGAAGUUUCGGAAAUGGACGGAAGGCUUACCGAGCAACGCCGCGGGAGUGAAGAAGGUUUUCGGAUUGUAAAGCUCUUUUGUUAGAGAAGCGGUAACUACCCAGAAAGGGACGGCUAACUACGUGCCAGCAGCCGCGGUAAUUC